UACGAAGGGGGCUAGCGUUGCUCGGAAUCACUGGGCGUAAAGCGCACGUAGGCGGCUUCUUAAGUCAGGGGUGAAAUCCUGGAGCUCAACUCCAGAACUGCCUUUGAUACUGAGGAGCUUGAGUCCGGGAGAGGUGAGUGGAACUGCGAGUGUAGAGGUGAAAUUCGUAGAUAUCGAGAGGAACAUCGGUGGCGAAGGCGGCUCACUGGCCCGAUACUGACGCUGAGGUGCGAAAGCGUGGGGAGCAAACAGG
rnacentral:rRNA from 1 species